rnacentral:rRNA from 1 species
AUUGAACGCUGGCGGCAGGCCUAACACAUGCAAGUCGAACGAGUGGCGGACGGGUGAGUAAUGUCUGGGCAACUGCCUGAUGGAGGGGGAUAACUACUGGCAACGGUAGCUAAUAACGCAUACCAUCGGAUGUGCCCAGAUGGGAUUAGCUAGUAGGUGGGGUAAAGGCUCACCUAGGCUAGGCUCCCUAGCUGGUCUGAGCGGAUGACCAGCCACACGGGAACUGAGACACGGUCCAGAAUCCGACGGGAGGCAGCAGUGGGGAAUAUUGCACAAUGGGCGCAAGCCUGAUGCAGCCAUGCCGCGUGUAUGAAGAAGGCCUUCGGGUUGUAAAGGACUUUCAGCGGGGAGGCGUUACCCGCAGAAGAAUCACCGGCUAACUCCGUGCCAGCAGCCGCGGUAAUAC